rnacentral:lncRNA from 1 species
GAAGAUGCUUUCAUGAUCUACGCAUCUGUCAUUGCUGUUGCUUAUCACCGUUCUUGGGAAUGUGGCACUUCAUCAGCCGUCUUUCUUUCCAUCUAAUGAACACUGUUCUCCCUGACUCAGGUGUCAUCACCAUGAGAAGGACAUACCACCCCAGAAUAAGGAGAGGCAAAUGGAUUAGACUUGAAAUGAACCCAGAGCCUGGAUUCAAGCACAGCCAAACCCAGCUUGGAUCUCAUAAUUCCCAGUCCUGUGCAGAAGAACCAUGAGACCUACAAUAUAUUUCCAUAGCUUCUUUCAAGAAAUAA